AAACUUCAAAUGUCAUCCUCUGAUUUCAUACUUUUUUACUGUAGUACUCUAUGGUUUAAAAUACAUCAAUUUAAUGUCCCAUGGUUUUAUUUUUAUUUUUUUAUUAUCGAUUUCACUAAUUUUUUUCGUCAAAUCACAAAGUUAAAACUAAAGGGUACUAAAGUGAAUAUAUUCAAUAAAACUAGGUGAAGUAUCUGAAGUUUUUUAUAUAUAAUUUAACGAAAUAUUAACGAAAAAACUGACGAAAAAAUAAAAAUAAAACUACAGGACACAAACUUGAUACACUUUAAACCACAGAAUAUUAAAAUAAAAAAAUACGAAACCACAGGAUUGGUAUCUGAAGUUUACCCAAGUAAAAGAAGAUAGAGUAGUGGGUAAAUAAA
rnacentral:lncRNA from 1 species